rnacentral:rRNA from 1 species
GACGAACGCUGGCGGCGUGCUUAACACAUGCAAGUCGAACGGAAAGGCCCUGCUUUUGUGGGGUGCUCGAGUGGCGAACGGGUGAGUAACACGUGAGUAACCUGCCCUUGACUUUGGGAUAACUUCAGGAAACUGGGGCUAAUACCGGAUAGGAGCUCCUGCUGCAUGGUGGGGGUUGGAAAGUUUCGGCGGUUGGGGAUGGACUCGCGGCUUAUCAGCUUGUUGGUGGGGUAGUGGCUUACCAAGGCUUUGACGGGUAGCCGGCCUGAGAGGGUGACCGGCCACAUUGGGACUGAGAUACGGCCCAGACUCCUACGGGAGGCAGCAGUGGGGAAUAUUGCACAAUGGGCGGAAGCCUGAUGCAGCAACGCCGCGUGCGGGAUGACGGCCUUCGGGUUGUAAACCGCUUUCGCCCGUGACGAAGCGUGGGUGACGGUAAUGGGUAAAGAAGCACCGGCUAACUACGUG